UGAACAUAUUAUUGUAUUCGACUGUAUUCACGACAUGAAAUAGGGGAUUACAUUGUUUUUAAAACGGAAAGUGAAUCAAUUAACAUAAUAGACUCCU
rnacentral:pre_miRNA from 1 species